AUUGAACGCUGGCGGCAGGCUUAACACAUGCAAGUCGAGCGGGGGAAGGUAGCUUGCUACUGGACCUAGCGGCGGACGGGUGAGUAAUGCUUAGGAAUCUGCCUAUUAGUGGGGGACAACAUCUCGAAAGGGAUGCUAAUACCGCAUACGUCCUACGGGAGAAAGCAGGGGAUCUUCGUACCUUGCGCUAAUAGAUGAGCCUAAGUCGGAUUAGCUAGUUGGUGGGGUAAAGGCCUACCAAGGCGACGAUCUGUAGCGGGUCUGAGAGGAUGAUCCGCCACACUGGGACUGAGACACGGCCCAGACUCCUACGGGAGGCAGCAGUGGGGAAUAUUGGACAAUGGGGGGAACCCUGAUCCAGCCAUGCCGCGUGUGUGAAGAAGGCCUUAUGGUUGUAAAGCACUUUAAGCGAGGAGGAGGCUACUCUAGUUAAUACCUAGGGAUAGUGGACGUUACUCGCAGAAUAAGCACCGGCUAACUCUGUGCCAGCCGCCGCUGUAA
rnacentral:rRNA from 1 species